CGUGGAGACAGGUGGUGCAUGGCUGUCGUCAGCUCGUGUCGUGAGAUGUUGGGUUAAGUCCCGCAACGAGCGCAACCCUCACCCCUUGUUGCCAUCAGGUCACGCUGGGCACUCUAGGGGAACUGCCCCGGUCAACGGGGAGGAAGGUGGGGACGACGUCAAGUCAUCAUGCCCCUUACGCCCUGGGCUACACACGUGCUACAAUGGGCGGCACAAAGGGCAGCGACGCCGCGAGGUGUAGCAAAUCCCAAAAAACCGCUCUCAGUUCGGAUCGGAGUCUGCAACUCGACUCCGUGAAGUCGGAAUCGCUAGUAAUCGUGGAUCAGCAUGCCACGGUGAAUACGUUCCCGGGCCUUGUACACACCGCCCGUCACACCACGAAAGUCUGCUGUACUCGAAGUCGCUGAG
rnacentral:rRNA from 1 species